rnacentral:rRNA from 1 species
CCUACGGGUGGCUGCAGUGGGGAAUAUUGCACAAUGGGGGAAACCCUGAUGCAGCGACGCCGCGUGAGUGAAGAAGUAAUUCGUUAUGUAAAGCUCUAUUAGCAGGGAAGAAAAUGACGGUACCUGAGUACGAAGCCCCGGCUAACUACGUGCCAGCAGCCGGGGCAACACGGAGGGGGCAAGCGUUAUCCGGAUUUACUGGGGGUAAAGGGAGCGUAGUCGGCAGUGCAAGUCUGGAGUGAAAGGCGGGGGCUCAACCCCCGGACUGCUCUGUAAACUGUACGGCUGGAGUGCAGGAGAGGUAAGUGGAAUUCGUGGUGUAGCGGUGAAAUGCGUAGAUAUUAGGAAGAACACCAGUGGCGAAGGCGGCUUACUGGACUGUAACUGACGUUGAGGCUCGAAAGCGUGGGGAGCAAACAGGAUUAGAUACCCCAGUAGUC